CAGGGUCUCCAUAUAGUUGGAAGAGUUUCCUUAAGGAGGAAAUGAGAGUUCAUGAGUACAGAGUCACCAGCAGCCCAGAGCUCAGAACUGCUGCUGUAGAGGACAAAAAGCUGUUGUCAUAUCAAAGGAACAGUAUAUUGACCUUCACUGGACAGCUAAGAUACCGAGAAAGUCAACAACUCUCAGAAAGAUACAAUGUGGAAUUGGGAUUGGUAAAUACCAAGUACAGAGACUAUUAUGCUUCCAGGGAAAUUCAAAGUUGUUGAUCAGUGAGCUUACGAAAGCCUUUGGGGACAGGACAAAUAAUGGACCUGUUUACCUUCAUUUUUCACUAAUUGAAAACCCAAGGUCUGAGAAACUAAUAUUUCCUUUUUUCAAAACCCAGAUGUUUCUUCCUUUUCUUGAACAUGAACAACAAGGCAAAGAGCUUUGUGCAAGUAGAAAGCGUGGGGGAAACCUGGAGACUGCUAGCCACUUAAAAGGUGAGAGGACGAGGUUUCAUAUUCAGGAGAGGAGGAGAGACAAGAGAAAUUCUCCUAUGAAAAUAUUGCUUUAAAUAAUAAUAAACUAUAAAACUAAUAUCAAUGGCAUAAAUGUGGUAACCAUCUUUAAGAUAUGUAUAAUCUUUUGUAGCAUGCUAGAAAUUUUUUCUCAAGGCAUAACUGUGCUGAGUAUGGUACACAUAGUGGAAUGUAAGAUCAAAGGAGAGAUCAGAGUCAUAUUUUUGAAGGGAAUACUUUUUUUAAAGUCAUAAAUAUAAUAAUUUUCAGUAGAAAAAUG